rnacentral:rRNA from 1 species
AAAUCCGCUUUGAUAAUGCUGGGAUGUGAUGGGGAGCGAAAUUUAGUAGCGAAGUAGCUGAUUUCACACUGUCAAGAAAAGUCUCUAUCGAGGCUAAAGGUACCCGUACCGCAAACCGACACAGGUGGGUGAGGAGAGUAUCCUAAGGCCAGCGAGAGAACUGUUGUUAAGGAACUCGGCAAAAUGACCCCGUAACUUAGGG